rnacentral:rRNA from 1 species
AUUGAACGCUGGCGGCAUGCCUUACACAUGCAAGUCGAACGGCAGCAUAGGAGCUUGCUCCUGAUGGCGAGUGGCGAACGGGUGAGUAAUAUAUCGGAACGUGCCCUAGAGUGGGGGAUAACUAGUCGAAAGACUAGCUAAUACCGCAUACGAUCUACGGAUGAAAGUGGGGGAUCGCAAGACCUCAUGCUCCUGGAGCGGCCGAUAUCUGAUUAGCUAGUUGGUGGGGUAAAAGCCUACCAAGGCGACGAUCAGUAGCUGGUCUGAGAGGACGACCAGCCACACUGGGACUGAGACACGGCCCAGACUCCUACGGGAGGCAGCAGUGGGGAAUUUUGGACAAUGGGGGCAACCCUGAUCCAGCAAUGCCGCGUGAGUGAAGAAGGCCUUCGGGUUGUAAAGCUCUUUUGUCAGGGAAGAAACGGUAGUAGCUAAUAUCUAUUACUGAUGACGGUACCUGAAGAAUAAGCACCGGCUAACUACGUGCCAGCAGCCGCGGUAAUACGUAGGGUGCAAGCGUUAAUCGGAAUUACUGGGCGUAAAGCGUGCGCAGGCGGUUGUGUAAGUCAGAUGUGAAAUCCCCGGGCUCAACCUGGGAAUUGCAUUUGAGACUGCACGGCUAGAGUGUGUCAGAGGGGGGUAGAAUUCCACGUGUAGCAGUGAAAUGCGUAGAUAUGUGGAGGAAUACCGAUGGCGAAGGCAGCCCCCUGGGAUAACACUGACGCUCAUGCACGAAAGCGUGGGGAGCAAACAGG